AACGAACGCUGGCGGCAGGCUUAACACAUGCAAGUCGAACGCACCUUUCGGGGUGAGUGGCAGACGGGUGAGUAACGCGUGGGAAUCUACCCUUCUCUACGGGAUAGCUCCGGGAAACUGGAAUUAAUACCGUAUACGUCCUGAGGGAGAAAGAUUUAUCGGGGAAGGACGAGCCCGCGUUGGAUUAGCUAGUUGGUGGGGUACAGGCCUACCAAGGCGACGAUGCAUAGCUGGUCUAAGAGGAUGAUCCGCCACAUUGGGACUGAGACACGGCCCAAACUCCUACGGGAGGCAGCAGUAGGGAAUAUUGGACGAUGGGCGCAAGCCUGAUCCAGCCAUGCCGCGUAAGUGAUGAAGGCCCUAGGGUUGUAAAGCUCUUUCAGUGGAGACGAUAAUGACGGUACCCACAGAAGAAGCCCCGGCUAACUUCGUG
rnacentral:rRNA from 1 species